CCUACGGGAGGCAGCAGUGGGGAAUAUUGGACAAUGGGGGGAACCCUGAUCCAGCCAUGCCGCGUGUGUGAAGAAGGCCCUCGGGUUGUAAAGCACUUUCAGUGAGGAAGAACGCCUGGUGGUUAAUACCCAUCAGGAAAGACAUCACUCACAGAAGAAGCACCGGCUAACUCCGUGCCAGCAGCCGCGGUAAUACGGAGGGUGCGAGCGUUAAUCGUAAUUACUGGGCGUAAAGCGCGCGUAGGUGGCUUGAUAAGCCGGUUGUGAAAGCCCCGGGCUCAACCUGGGAACGGCAUCCGGAACUGUCAAGCUAGAGUGCAGGAGAGGAAGGUAGAAUUCCCGGUGUAGCGGUGAAAUGCGUAGAGAUCGGGAGGAAUACCAGUGGCGAAGGCGGCCUUCUGGACUGACACUGACACUGAGGUGCGAAAGCGUGGGUAGCAAACAGGAUUAGAUACCCUGGUAGUC
rnacentral:rRNA from 1 species